AAAAAGACAAACCCUGGGUUUCCGUGUUCAACGUUUGACCGUCCGUCUUAUUUGAAAAAAUUAUGAAAAAAAUUAAAAAUAUAAGUCACGCAUAAAGUAUUAAUUAUGUUUUAUCAUCUAACAACAAUGAAAAUACUAAUUAUAAAAAAAUUUUAUAUAAGACGGACAAUCAAACGUUGGACACGGAAACUCAGGGUUUGCCUUUUU
rnacentral:pre_miRNA from 1 species